AAUGGGAAGACGCUUAAGACAUAAAGCCUUAUGACGUCACUAUGACGUGGCACAAUGAGAAAGCUUAGGUUGCCACAGGGGUAGAGAAGCAGUGUGUCCAAGGCCCGAAGCCAAGAAGAUCUGUGCUCAGGAGCCGGGCACUAUGAAACUGUACGCCAUGCUGCACCUACAAACGUCCUAAGAGAACUAUGCAUGCUGGCUGUAGAACAUCUGCCAUAAAAGGUACAGUACUUUCCUGUUGCUAAGUGGUCUUCAUCCAGCCCAAGAUCUUUUUGAAUCAGGUUUACUUGCACAAUUAGAACUUACUGGAACAAAAAUGGAUGCAAUACAAGUUCUCUUAUAAACUCUUUCCACUAGCCUUUCAACAGUUAAAGCAGAUAUUUCAUUGUGCUCUCAGAA